GACGAACGCUGGCGGCGUGCCUAAUACAUGCAAGUCGACCUUAGUGGCGAACGGGUGAGUAACACGUGGGUAACCUGCCCAUCAGAAGGGGAUAACACUUGGAAACAGGUGCUAAUACCGUAUACUGAUGGAUGGACCCGCGGUGCAUUAGCUAGUUGGUGAGGUAACUGCUCACCAAGGCCACGAUGCAUAGACGACGUGGGAGGGGGAUCGGCAACAUUGGGACGGAGAAACGGCCCAAACGCGAACGGGAGGCAUCAGUAGGGAAUCUUCGGCAAUGGACGAAAGUCUGAACGAGCAACGCCGCGUGAGUGAAGAGGGUUUUCGGAUCGUAAAACUCUGUUGUUAGAGAAGCGGUAUCUAACCAGAAAGCCACGGCUAACUACGUGCCAGCAGCCGCGGUAAUUC
rnacentral:rRNA from 1 species